GGGCGUGUGGCUCAGUUGGUAGAGCGUUCGCUUAGCAUCGCCUGUUUCUCUCCGGAGAUAUCUGGUAGUUGCGAAAGGUCCUGGGUUCGAUUCCCAGCUCGUCCA